rnacentral:lncRNA from 1 species
GUUUUCAGAUGUACACUAAAUUUACUUUUGUACUACUGCACUUUAUCUACUUUGGAAACAUUCUGAAGUACAUGGUGGAUUUAAUUCCAUUAAUCUUUGGAAAUAUGAUGAGUGGUUCAGUUUCUGAUUUUCAUGAUCAUCUGUUAGCUGUAAGAUAUUAUUGCCUUAUAGGGACAUCUGCUGGUAGAUAAAUAAAGGUCUAGAACAAUAAAAUACUGUCUUCUCCUCAGUGUUUGCCAGGGCACCACUCUGAGCCUGAAGCCUUCCUCAUAUGCAUCUGCUUCAGAUAGUACCUGGCUGCGAAAAUUCUAAAUAUUCUAUCAUUUCACGGUCCAAUUCUUCUCAAGUCACAUAAAACUUGCCUUUACCACACAUUUGUCUUUUUCCCACAAUAGAUUCACACAUGUAUUUAGUUUUUUUUUUUUUUUCCCAGACUGACUGUAUAUUAUCCUGAAAACCUCAGGCUUUCUGGAAGUUUAUGCCCUUUGGGGCAGGUGGCAUGAGAAUCGUGAUAUUUAGUGAACCCACUCUCCACCAUAAGCCAUCACUUGUUUUGUUACCUGUCUUGAAUUUCCAGAUCUGCGUGAAACAUGCAAGAAAAAAGAAAAGCCACUCUCUUUUCGUUCCUAAGUUGCCGAAACAAAAGUAAAAUAAAUCCAGUAAUGUUAUCAAUGUCUUAAACUUCCGGCCUUUAAUGUUUCACAAGAGGGGGAAAAGUAUGUUAAUAAUUUUAUCAGUAAGUUGAAAUGCUCCUCUUCCCACUCAGCUAUGUCAGGUUUCCUACCAAUAAUUAGCUGCAGCUAAUUAAUUACCACCUUUCACUGGAAAAAGGAUUACCUGGUGAAAGCAAAGCAACCAGUAGUAUUAUUUCUACUGAACUUAACCAUCACCAGAAGGAUGAAAUAAUUUUUCUUGUGGUGUUUUACUGAACAAGGAUCACCUUUAUAUGCCUUCUUUGGAAAAGCAGAACUGUGUUAAAUCAUACAUUGUAGACUUAAAAUUAAAUUGCCCAUAAAAGUCAAUAUUACCAAGAGCACAGUGUAGCAGCUUAUUCAUGCCACUUCUUUAAACUCAUUGCACAUUAAUGUGCUAAUGUGAUGGAAAAUAAAGAAUCGUCACGUGCCUUCCCAGUCGUUUUUUCUCUUUUGUUUAUAUAUGUAUAUUUUUAAAGCAAGUAGAAGAUUGUUUCAUCAGUUAAGGCAUUCCCUGCCAAAAGAAACGACAUAAUCAUUAACUAAUUACAACUAAAUAAUAGCAUUGCACAUUUUGACAGGUUAACGCACAUUCUGUUAAGAGUUGAAAGCUCAAGAAAGAGAAUAAUAAAGCUACUACUUUCACAAAAUCCUCAAAUGCCAAUAUGGGAAAUAAACUCUGAGGGCUUUCACCAACCAUGUGUCUUUCUUUUUAUCUCUUGCUCUUUGUGUGUGAGAAACAUUUGAAUUUAUAUUAACAUUUUAAAAUAAUUCGCUAAGUGAUCAACUCAUUUUUACUGGUUUUAACCAAUCAUAAAUCACAGAACCUACUGACAUCCACAGUUUUAACACACUGAAAUCAUCAUUUUGGCUGUUUCCGCCAUUUCCAAUGAAGCAAUAAAAUACACACGGUGACUCUCAGAUGUGAAAAGAAUGAAGAAAACCAAGUCAAGAGAGAAAAAACAGUGUUUUCAAAUGUAAUCUAGUUCAUUCAAAAAGCCAAAAACAAAACACAAAGACAUGCCUGAAAUGGCACAUUACCGAUAUUGUGUCUGAAGAGCUUAAUACCUUAACUGAAAAAAACAUUGGGAAAAAUUAAUGCAAAAUUGAAUUGUCUACUUUAUGAUUUCUUACACAAUGACUCAAAUAUUUUUGAGUAUAUCAGAUCUGGUUGUUUGCAAUCUUCUCAUACAGAGUCUAUCAAAAUUCUUCUGAAAAGAAAAGAAAAAGAGAAAAUAGAAAAUCUCUUUCUAAACCCUGUCCUUUAGCAAGCUCAUAAAAGGAAAUUAAGGAAUAUGUUCUCCAGUGCUAUAGGUGAUACAGUCUGUUAAAGCCCACAUGAUGUGACUACAGAAGGAAUCAGUACAUGUUAAACAGCAUGAAUAUAGGUAGAGAAGAUCAAGUUGUUGUUUUUAAUUUACUUAUUGUUGCUUGGGAACACUACUUACACUACUCCACUAUCAUGGAACUUCAUAUUAGACUUACGAAAUUGACCUGUUUGCUAUGAAAUGAGAAAAGAGAGAGUAUACAGCAAAGAUUAAGAGGUUUAGCACUACACAUUGGAAACCAAUCACAAUAUAAUAAAAGUAGUAAGUCAUUUAAUAGAUUGCUUUUUGCAACUUGGGUAUGGAGCAAUAAAAUUUGUUCAAUAAAUGAGUAUACACUUUUCUUGUGAGAGACAAAUGGAUCAUCAUUUAGCAUACACCAAGAGGGAAUUCAAAAGGAAAAAAAUGCUAACAUCAGAAGGGGGAAUGAGAUCCACACAUUAAAGGAUGGUAUUAGUAUUGCAAACUACAAAAAAAGUAGAGAGAAUUUAAAUUAUUUACCUUUCUAGUUCGGCACAAAUGUCCUACAGCUAAUUAUCAUGAGAUAUUGCCUGGAAAUUAACCAGUCAUGUUGUGUUUCUAUCUCCAGAUUUACAAUUAGUAAUGCUAUUAAUGUGGUUCCUGUACUUAGCGUUACUAAUUAUAUUGCUAUGAACUAAUGGUGUUAAAAAUAGCAAUAGCCAUCAACUACCAAUUAAUGCUUAAUGAGAGCAUAUAAACCCUGGCAUUGUAAUGAAUUUCAAAAUUAUUGUUGCUUGUGUUCCUCUUGUAAUCGUGCAAAAAUGGGUGUAACCAGUAACCACUGAAGUAGGGCAUUGAUUGAAAGCAUAGUUACAUCAUUGCAGGAAAAUCAAGAUAUAAAUGGCUCCUUGAAAGAAUAUAUAUUCCAUUUUACCCUUAGUAUUCAACCCGCAGGUUUUAGGGAAAAAAUUAUAAAAAAACAAUUGAAAUACAACUUGCAAAGAUGUUGUUUGAAACCCAUGAAUAAUAUAGGAAAUAUUUUUUAAAAUUUUUGGAGAGGAGUUUUUAUGGAAGAAUCAUUCAACAAAUCCUCUCCUAGAAUUUAUAUAAGGCAGAAUAACUAGAAUUUCAGUAUGCACCAGAAGACAGAUUUAAGAGAGGGAUACCCUAUAUUAGCUAGGAUAGGCUAGGUUAUGCUGCAGUAACAACCCCUGUCAGUGGCUUAGCAUACAAAAGUUUAUUUCUUGCUCACAUUUUCUAUGUCCAGCACAGUCACUUAGGGAGUACCACCCACUACAGUUACUCAGGAACUCAGGCCCAAAGAGAUCCCACCCUGUUGUGUACUCCUAUUAUUUUCAGAGGGAACUUGGACAACUGUGCUUCUCUAUUACUUCUAGGCAGAAGUGACUUUUACCACUUAUGAUGCUAUUUCAUUGGAGAAAAACCACAUGACUAACCUAAGAUCAAAGUGAUGAAGAAUAGUACCCAGGAAAAGAAUAACUGAAAUAUUAUAUAACUUCAUGUGUUUUAGUUCUUUGGCACUGUUUUAUUUUAUUUUUUAUUUUUUUAAUAAUGAUUUUUAUUUUUCCAUUAUAGCUGGUUUACAGUGUUCUGUCAAUUUUCUACUGUACAGCAAGGUGACCCAGUUACAUAUACAUGUAUACCUUCUUUUUUCUCACAUUAUCAUGCUUGAUCAUAAGUAACUAGAUAUAGUUUCCAGUGCGAUACAGCCAGAUUUCAUUGCUUAUCCAUUACAAAGGCAAUAGUUUGCAUCUAUUAACCCCAAAUUCCCAGUCCAUUCCACUCCCUUCCCCUUCCCUUUGACAACCACAAGUCUGUUUUCCAUGUCCAUGAUUUUCUUUUCCAUGGAAAAUCUUUGAUCUUGUCAUUAAAAAGUCAUUUCCAACAAUCAGUUAGUGAGAGUACUUCAUUAGUAUACAGUGUUGCAGUAUAUUAAAUGCAAAUGCACCUUUUCAAUUUCAGAAAUGUAAUUUAAUAUUUUAUCUUGGCAUCAGCCUUUUCAACCCUUGGUUCUAAUAAAAACCAUAGAGUAUUUCAAGAAUAUGAAAGAGCAGAAAUUACCAUAAAAUGGAGUAAGAAAGAGUAAUUUAGCCAGUAAAGAGGCUAAUGAUGUGUGUGUGUGUGUGUUCUCAAAUUAGCACAAAAGUGUGCUUAUGGUAUCCACACUAACAGUGGCAAUGACACACUAAAGAAAACUAAAGAUACUAAGAAGACUACAGAACUCAACUACAGUGUUUACAAAUCUACACUUUAUCACAGGAAAAGAAUAAAAAUAUAGCAUUGCUUUUAAAGUAAGGAUAUGCAUCAGAGCCCAAGGUUGCAUCACACCAAGGGGUCCUAAGAGACUCAUUGUGGACUCCAAUUGCCCUCAUUCUGUGGAGCCAUCCUGGAUGCACUUUCUCUUAAAUCAUAAAUCUUCAACACUGGUAUAGAAUGCUCUAGAAACAGGAUCCCAAAAUGGAUUCUCAGUUGGUUCUUCUAUAUUCUACUGGUCAGGAAGGCACAUCAUUGCUAUGUGACCAGCCAAAGAGCAGAACCCACAGGCACCAAAACCAGGUGCAAACCAACUAUAGGUACGGGCAAGCUGGUAGAAAUUACCCCCAAACUAGUCUCAGAACCAUGGUUAUAAACCAAUACUAUCAAUCAGGCCUGUUUCAUGCACUGGCUAAGGAUUAGUGUCAUGAAGGGAUAUUUCCUAUAAUAUCACCUAUAAAGCAGCUCAGCCAAUAUACCUGACAGAAGUAUCCCUCACAGCACAACAUUCAAAUAGAUGUUACAAAAAGCUAAACCUAUGAACUUAGAAGGAGAACUGUACUAUUAAUACAUUAAUUGGCAAUACUGGGGCUUAGAGGUAAGUACACUUCUGGGCCAGGGGCGUAUCUGAAUUCCCUAAGCUUAUUUUCAAACUGCAUCCCACCCUAGCUUAGACCCCUCUGAAACUUAACCACUAUCAUUGCUAUGCUGUGACUUAGAUAUCAAGGAAGAUAUAUUUUAGGCACAUUUACUAUCCCCUUGUAUAACAUUAUUGUCCCACAAUUUAGAAGCUUAAAACAACCAAUUAUUUGUUAGACUUGCUAAAUUUUUGCUUUAGGAAU